CAAACCCACGCGACCACUACGGAGUAAUGACAGCAGCUUUCUGCUCUUAAAGAUUUAUUUCGGGUUUCUUUCUCUCUCUUGUGUUGCUAUUCAACUCUCAGGGAGGAUGAGAAAGUGUUGUGAUUUCAAGGAAGUGGAGUCCUUAAGGUCCAUGAAAGAUUUCACAGUCUUGGAAACCUCACACACGGAGGAGACUUGACAGAGGGCAGGCUGCGGAAGAAAAGCUGUUUGUGUUAGCCUGAGAGUCACCCAGGGCUGCAAUGAGAGGAGAGGAGAGGAGUGGGAGUGCCAAGCUGGAUACACCUUCACCGCAUCUCAUCACAUCUGCCAGCCUCUUUCUCCCUCUCUCUUUCAUUUCCACAUUCCCUUUGUUCCUGGAAAAAAAAAUCUACACGUCACAUCAGAGUCCCCAGAUGCAGUCUACACCAAAGAAAAAAAAUGAAUAAUUCAAUCAAACUGUGCAUAGUCUCUAAGGCAAUAAAUCUAUUGCACUUAAAGAAACGAAGGGUAAUUACCGCUAUGGAAUUAGAAUCAGGCCAAAGAACGGAGGAAUCCCAGGGUCUGUAAACUCCACGGUCAAAUAAAGUUGCAUUUACUUAAUCCUUUGACAUCUCCAAUGUAAACUAAGGGGGAGGAUCUGAACGUAUUCCGGAUGGGUUUGAAAAUGCUUGGAGUGAGGGUCACAAAAGCAGAGAGAGUGAUCAGUGAGAAUACAAUGCAAUGGAGUAAAGUGCUGCCGUGGAUCCCCUCCAGGUCCAUUCCCCCCUAGUGAACAGCGGAUCACACUCCCAUUUUCACCGGCUGCUGCUGCGCCCCACAAAUGCAACAUGGAUCAUUUGCAGUGAAUGGCAGCCUUACCUGCGUCUAGAGCUCAAAUAAAAGCUUACAAAAAGUCAUUGUGAUCGGCAAUUUGUUCCAAGCUCGGGCUAAAAGGAGCUGUAAGGGAUUUGCACCAACAGCGAUUGACUAAAAACGCUGUGACUGACUUCUGGAUUUGUCCUGGGCUGAGUUUAGGGAAUGUCUGACAGGGAGGGAGGGAAAACACGCUUGAGAUCGGAUCCAAGUUAGUCAGAAGAAGGCAGUGCUGGUAAGAAAGCCCUGCGACAGACCGACCUAGGAUGGGAUGGAGGAUAACUACAUUUGUUCCCCUAACCCUCCUCUAAACUUGCCCUUUCGUCUCGGAGGUAAGAUGACUCUAUAUUGUGUUUAUUCUCUCCAUGCAAUUCAGGUCCAGAGACACGUUCCAGUGUAAACAGGACAGCAAUUUAGGGAUGUUUCUCCCUCCUGUCGUUACUGCUAACAUCUAGUUAGAGUUUAAAAUCCUGAUCUGUUGCUUGACAAGUUCUUUUUAAACUACUCCCCCGUCAAAGCAGGUGAGAUUAAGAUUGAUGAACGGACCUCGCACCUCGUUCUGAACUUUCAGAAGUGCCCAGGGUCGGCGGCAUUAAAAUGCUGUCCAUUUAUACGUAAGACUUGCAGCUUUUAUACUUUAUACCGUUUUUAAUAGGCAGGUUUGAUUUAUCCAAAACAUUAAUGGAACUGUUAUUCCAAUAAAGGUGACCACACUUGCCAGUCUC